rnacentral:rRNA from 1 species
GGGUUGUGAGGUUAAGCGACUAAGCGUACACGGUGGAUGCCCUGGCAGUCAGAGGCGAUGAAGGACGUGCUAAUCUGCGAUAAGCGUCGGUAAGGUGAUAUGAACCGUUAUAACCGGCGAUUUCCGAAUGGGGAAACCCAGUGUGAUUCGUCACACUAUCAUUAACUGAAUCCAUAGGUUAAUGAGGCGAACCGGGGGAACUGAAACAUCUAAGUACCCCGAGGAAAAGAAAUCAACCGAGAUUCCCCCAGUAGCGGCGAGCGAACGGGGAGCAGCCCAGAGCCUGAAUCAGUGUGUGUGUUAGUGGAAGCGUCUGGAAAGGCGCGCGAUACAGGGUGACAGCCCCGUACACAAAAAUGCACAUACUGUGAGCUCGAUGAGUAGGGCGGGACACGUGGUAUCCUGUCUGAAUAUGGGGGGACCAUCCUCCAAGGCUAAAUACUCCUGACUGACCGAUAGUGAACCAGUACCGUGAGGGAAAGGCGAAAAGAACCCCGGCGAGGGGAGUGAAAAAGAACCUGAAACCGUGUACGUACAAGCAGUGGGAGCACGCUUAGGCGUGUGACUGCGUACCUUUUGUAUAAUGGGUCAGCGACUUAUAUUCUGUAGCAAGGUUAACCGAAUAGGGGAGCCGAAGGGAAACCGAGUCUUAACUGGGCGUUAAGUUGCAGGGUAUAGACCCGAAACCCGGUGAUCUAGCCAUGGGCAGGUUGAAGGUUGGGUAACACUAACUGGAGGACCGAACCGACUAAUGUUGAAAAAUUAGCGGAUGACUUGUGGCUGGGGGUGAAAGGCCAAUCAAACCGGGAGAUAGCUGGUUCUCCCCGAAAGCUAUUUAGGUAGCGCCUCGUGAAUUCAUCUCCGGGGGUAGAGCACUGUUUCGGCAAGGGGGUCAUCCCGACUUACCAACCCGAUGCAAACUGCGAAUACCGGAGAAUGUUAUCACGGGAGACACACGGCGGGUGCUAACGUCCGUCGUGAAGAGGGAAACAACCCAGACCGCCAGCUAAGGUCCCAAAGUCAUGGUUAAGUGGGAAACGAUGUGGGAAGGCCCAGACAGCCAGGAUGUUGGCUUAGAAGCAGCCAUCAUUUAAAGAAAGCGUAAUAGCUCACUGGUCGAGUCGGCCUGCGCGGAAGAUGUAACGGGGCUAAACCAUGCACCGAAGCUGCGGCAGCGACGCUUAUGCGUUGUUGGGUAGGGGAGCGUUCUGUAAGCCUGCGAAGGUGUGCUGUGAGGUAUGCUGGAGGUAUCAGAAGUGCGAAUGCUGACAUAAGUAACGAUAAAGCGGGUGAAAAGCCCGCUCGCCGGAAGACCAAGGGUUCCUGUCCAACGUUAAUCGGGGCAGGGUGAGUCGACCCCUAAGGCGAGGCCGAAAGGCGUAGUCGAUGGGAAACAGGUUAAUAUUCCUGUACUUGGUGUUACUGCGAAGGGGGGACGGAGAAGGCUAUGUUGGCCGGGCGACGGUUGUCCCGGUUUAAGCGUGUAGGCUGGUUUUCCAGGCAAAUCCGGAAAAUCAAGGCUGAGGCGUGAUGACGAGGCACUACGGUGCUGAAGCAACAAAUGCCCUGCUUCCAGGAAAAGCCUCUAAGCAUCAGGUAACAUCAAAUCGUACCCCAAACCGACACAGGUGGUCAGGUAGAGAAUACCAAGGCGCUUGAGAGAACUCGGGUGAAGGAACUAGGCAAAAUGGUGCCGUAACUUCGGGAGAAGGCACGCUGAUAUGUAGGUGAAGCGACUUGCUCGUGGAGCUGAAAUCAGUCGAAGAUACCAGCUGGCUGCAACUGUUUAUUAAAAACACAGCACUGUGCAAACACGAAAGUGGACGUAUACGGUGUGACGCCUGCCCGGUGCCGGAAGGUUAAUUGAUGGGGUCAGCGCAAGCGAAGCUCUUGAUCGAAGCCCCGGUAAACGGCGGCCGUAACUAUAACGGUCCUAAGGUAGCGAAAUUCCUUGUCGGGUAAGUUCCGACCUGCACGAAUGGCGUAAUGAUGGCCAGGCUGUCUCCACCCGAGACUCAGUGAAAUUGAACUCGCUGUGAAGAUGCAGUGUACCCGCGGCAAGACGGAAAGACCCCGUGAACCUUUACUAUAGCUUGACACUGAACAUUGAGCCUUGAUGUGUAGGAUAGGUGGGAGGCUUGGAAGUGUGGACGCCAGUCUGCAUGGAGCCGACCUUGAAAUACCACCCUUUAAUGUUUGAUGUUCUAACGUUGACCCGUAAUCCGGGUUGCGGACAGUGUCUGGUGGGUAGUUUGACUGGGGCGGUCUCCUCCUAAAGAGUAACGGAGGAGCACGAAGGUUGGCUAAUCCUGGUCGGACAUCAGGAGGUUAGUGCAAUGGCAUAAGCCAGCUUGACUGCGAGCGUGACGGCGCGAGCAGGUGCGAAAGCAGGUCAUAGUGAUCCGGUGGUUCUGAAUGGAAGGGCCAUCGCUCAACGGAUAAAAGGUACUCCGGGGAUAACAGGCUGAUACCGCCCAAGAGUUCAUAUCGACGGCGGUGUUUGGCACCUCGAUGUCGGCUCAUCACAUCCUGGGGCUGAAGUAGGUCCCAAGGGUAUGGCUGUUCGCCAUUUAAAGUGGUACGCGAGCUGGGUUUAGAACGUCGUGAGACAGUUCGGUCCCUAUCUGCCGUGGGCGCUGGAGAACUGAGGGGGGCUGCUCCUAGUACGAGAGGACCGGAGUGGACGCAUCACUGGUGUUCGGGUUGUCAUGCCAAUGGCACUGCCCGGUAGCUAAAUGCGGAAGAGAUAAGUGCUGAAAGCAUCUAAGCACGAAACUUGCCCCGAGAUGAGUUCUCCCUGACUCCUUGAGAGUCCUGAAGGAACGUUGAAGACGACGACGUUGAUAGGCCGGGUGUGUAAGCGCAGCGAUGCGUUGAGCUAACCGGUACUAAUGAACCGUGAGGCUUAACCUUACAACGCCGAAGGUGUUU